AGCGAACGCUGGCGGCAGGCCUAACACAUGCAAGUCGAACGAAGUCUUCGGACUUAGUGGCGGACGGGUGAAUAACACGUGGGAACGUGCCUUUAGGUUCGGAAUAACUCAGGGAAACUUGUGCUAAUACCGAAUGUGCCCUUCGGGGGAAAGAUUUAUCGCCUUUAGAGCGGCCCGCGUCUGAUUAGCUAGUUGGUGAGGUAAAGGCCCACCAAGGCUACGAUCAGUAGCUGGUCUGAGAGGAUGACCAGCCAAAUUGGGACUGAGACACGGCCCAAACGCCUACGGGAGGCAGCAGUGGGGAAUCUUGCGCAAUGGGCGAAAGCCUGACGCAGCCAUGCCUCGUGGAUGAUGAAGGUCUUAGGAUUGUAAAAUCCUUUCACCGGUGAAGAUAAUGACUGUAGCCGGAGAAGAAGCCCCGGCUAACUUCGUGCCAGCCGCCGCCGUAAAAC
rnacentral:rRNA from 1 species